AUGAAUGUGUGUUGUAUGAGAUGCUUGUGUGUGCACCGCGUCCGAAUUGUCGCUCUUUGCCAUGCCACCGACACGUGGGAACCCGGAAUCCGGGAGCCCCCCACCAUCUCUAGCAUGUUGCGCACAUCCGCACGCCUCCUUUUGCACCGGUAUCUCCGUGAGCUACCGGAACCGAUAUGUUGCCGUGGCAUCAUUUUCGGAUAUGUUGCCAUGGCAUCAUUUUCGGAUAUGUUGCCGUGGCACCAUUUUGUUUCGCCGUCGUGGCACCCUUUUCGUUCCGCCAUGGUGACCAAAUGCUUCGUAUCAUGCUCAUGUCAACAUUUUCAUAAAAAUUGCAUAAACUUGCAUAUGUCAUCCGCAUCAUGUUAA
rnacentral:rRNA from 1 species